rnacentral:rRNA from 1 species
GACGAACGCUGGCGGCGUGCUUAACACAUGCAAGUCGAGCGGUAAGGCCCUUUCGGGGGUACACGAGCGGCGAACGGGUGAGUAACACGUGGGUGACCUGCCCUCAGCUCUGGGAUAAGCCUGGGAAACCGGGCCUAAUACUGGAUAUGACUCCAUGACGCAUGUUGUGGGUGGAAAGCCUUGUGCGGCUGAGGAUGGGCCCGCGGCCUAUCAGCUUGUUGGUGGGGUGAUGGCCUACCAAGGCGACGACGGGUAGCCGGCCUGAGAGGGCGACCGGCCACACUGGGACUGAGACACGGCCCAGACUCCUACGGGAGGCAGCAGUGGGGAAUCUUGCGCAAUGGGCGAAAGCCUGACGCAGCGACGCCGCGUGAGGGAUGACGGCCUCGGUGU